AGGUGAUGAUGACGAAGCCCACAAAGAUGUUCAUCAUGAAGAAUGCGAUGAUGAUGAUGUAGACAAUAAAGAACACUGAAAUCUCCACAUGCUCUUUGAAGGAGAGGAUUCUGUCUACCUUGACCCCUGAUAUUUCCUCAGUAUCUAGAACAGGACCUGGCGCAAAGUAGGUGCUCAAUACAUGCAUGUUGAAUGAACGAGAACUGGCAGGUUGGAUGGGGGGCUGGGGAUUGCCAGGGUGACUGAGGCAUUUGUGGGGUGUGGGGUGUGUGUGUGGAUUCCCAGGCAGGGAUCCAGGGGGAGACUAUGUUAGGGCUGGAGCCAGACAUCACCUGCCCUUGUUCUUGGUAGUGCCUGCAUCUCCACUGGCUAGGUUGUCCACAGCAAUGGCAAGAAACACAUUCAACAGGAUGUCUGGGGUGAGCUCAGGCUACAAAGGAUGAAGAAGCAGCCUGCUUGUGGACCACCCAGACUCCUCUAUCCACCCCACCUUCCACCAUUCAGCACCCCCACCAAGGUUUUGAGGAUACAGUUGCCGCAGAUGAAGAGAAUGAUGAAAUAGACGCACACCAGCAUCCCUGGGAAGAAGGGGCCACCGUAAGCCAUGAUACCAUCAUACAUGACCACGUUCCAGUCUUCACCUGUCAAGAUCUGGGGGGUGGGGCGGGAAUUCACCAUGAAGCUCUUGGGACCCUCCCUGCACCCUAGGGUGCCCCUGACCCACCCCCAUCCCAUCAUCUCCAGGCCCCA